AUACGGAAGGUCCGGGCGUUAUCCGGAUUUAUUGGGUUUAAAGGGAGCGCAGGCGGAGAUGCAAGCGUGACGUCAAAUUUCGGGGCUCAACCCCGUCUCGCGUCGCGAACUGCGUCCCUUGGUUGCGGGAAGGGGAGGCGGAACUCGUGGGGUAGGGGUGAAAUGCAUAGAUAUCACGAAGAACUCAGAUCGCGAAGGCAGCCUCCCGGCCCGUCAACGACGCUCAUGCUCGAAGGUGCGGGUAUCAAACAGGAUUAGAUACCCUGGUAGUCCGCACAGUAAACGAUGGACACCCGCGGUUUGGCCUGUAUGGCUGAGCCGCCAAGCGAAAGCGUUAAGUGUCCCACCUGGGGAGUACGCCGGCAACGGUGAAACUCAAAGGAAUUGACGGGG
rnacentral:rRNA from 1 species